rnacentral:lncRNA from 1 species
UGAGGGGCAUGAUAUUAGGAUCAAAUCCCACAUUUGAUAUAACUACAAACUUUUAUCCUAUUAUGCAAUACUUGUUUUCUAGCAUUAGAUCUCUAGAUAACUUUACGGUUCAAGGGAUAUAUGGGACCCCUAGAUAUUGGACUAGGCUUGGUCGUGUAUAUAUAGACCUGGAUUCUACCCUCCAAAGGUAGAGCUCCCACUUC